rfam:Collinsella stercoris DSM 13279 Scfld2 genomic scaffold, whole genome shotgun sequence.
AUAUUGUUUCAGGGCGGGGCGCAAUUCCCCACCGGCGGUAAAUGCAAACGCAACCCGCGUUGCGCGCAUGAGCCCGCGAGCCGCGCACAGCGGUUGACCUGGUGAGAUUCCGGGGCCGACGGUAUAGUCCGGAUGAGAGAAACGAGGU